GGUGAGUAACACGUGGAUAACCUACCUAUAAGACUGGGAUAACUUCGGGAAACCGGAGCUAAUACCGGAUAAUAUUUUGAACCGCAUGGUUCAAAAGUGAAAGACGGUCUUGCUGUCACUUAUAGAUGGAUCCGCGCUGCAUUAGCUAGUUGGUAAGGUAACGGCUUACCAAGGCAACGAUGCAUAGCCGACCUGAGAGGGUGAUCGGCCACACUGGAACUGAGACACAGUCCAG
rnacentral:rRNA from 1 species